rnacentral:lncRNA from 1 species
ACACAUAUUAAAGUUGAAUUAAACAUGAAUGGAAAAUGUAGCAAACGAAAGAGCAUUAUGUGAUAUGUAAACUGAAUAAAACUUGUAUCAAUAGUGAAUUAAACAAGUAAUUCAAUCCUAACAAAUCAACCAAUAAACUGCAAAAUGAAUUAACUUGUAUUUAAAAGUGUAUUACACAAAUAUUAAAGUUGAAUUAGAAGAGAG